UACGAAGGGGGCUAGCGUUGUUCGGAAUUACUGGGAGUAAAGCGCACGUAGGCGGAAUGUUAAGUCAGGGGUGAAAUCCCGGGGCUCAACCCCGGAACUGCCUUUGAUACUGGCAUUCUCGAGUCCGGAAGAGGUGAGUGGAAUUCCGAGUGUAGAGGCGAAAUUCGUAGAUAUUCGGAGGAACACCAGUGGCGAAGGCGGCUCACUGGUCCGGUACUGACGCUGAGGUGCGAAAGCGUGGGGAGCAAACAGG
rnacentral:rRNA from 1 species